ncrna:unclassified sequences 6A RNA
UGAUAUGUUCGUAGUGCAGCGAACAGGAUAAUCAAAAGAAAUGCACAAAUGGA